GUGGGGAAUCUUGCGCAAUGGGCGAAAGCCUGACGCAGCCAUGCCGCGUGAAUGAUGAAGGUCUUAGGAUUGUAAAAUUCUUUCACCGGGGACGAUAAUGACGGUACCCGGAGAAGAAGCCCCGGCUAACUUCGUGCCAGCAGCCGCGGUAAUACGAAGGGGGCUAGCGUUGCUCGGAAUUACUGGGCGUAAAGGGCGCGUAGGCGGAUCGUUAAGUCAGGGGUGAAAUCCCGGGGCUCAACCUCGGAAUUGCCCUUGAUACUGGCGAUCUUGAGUAUGAGAGAGGUAUGUGGAACUCCGAGUGUAGAGGUGAAAUUCGUAGAUAUUCGGAAGAACACCAGUGGCGAAGGCGACAUACUGGCUCAUUACUGACGCUGAGGCGCGAAAGCGUGGGGAGCAAACAGGAUUAGAAACCCUGGUAGUCC
rnacentral:rRNA from 1 species